GAUGAACGCUGGCGGCGUGCCUAAUACAUGCAAGUCGAGCGGAUCGAGGACGGGUGAGUAACACGUGGAUAACCUCCUAUCAGACUAGGAUAACUUCGGGAGACCGGAUCUACAUCGGAUACUUCUCGAUGGAUCCGAGCCGCAUUGGCUAGGUGGUAAGAUAACGGCUUACCAAGGCGACGAUGCGUAGCCGAACUGAGAGGGUGAUCGGCCACACUGGAACUGAGACACGGUCCAGACUCCUACGGGAGGCAGCAGUAGGGAAUCUUCGGCAAUGGGCGAAAGCCUGACGCAGCCAUGCCGCGUGAGUGAUGAAGGUCUUCGGAUCGUAAAACUCUGUUAUUAGGGAAGCGGUACCUAAUCAGAAAGCAACGGCUAACUACGUGCCAGCAGCCGCGGUAAUUC
rnacentral:rRNA from 1 species